rnacentral:rRNA from 2 species
UGCAGUCGACGAACUCUGGUAUUGAUUGGUGCUUGCAUCAUGAUUUACAUUUGAGUGAGUGGCGAACUGGUGAGUAACACGUGGGAAACCUGCCCAGAAGCGGGGGAUAACACCUGGAAACAGAUGCUAAUACCGCAUAACAACUUGGACCGCAUGGUCCGAGUUUGAAAGAUGGCUUCGGCUAUCACUUUUGGAUGGUCCCGCGGCGUAUUAGCUAGAUGGUGAGGUAACGGCUCACCAUGGCAAUGAUACGUAGCCGACCUGAGAGGGUAAUCGGCCACAUUGGGACUGAGACACGGCCCAAACUCCUACGGGAGGCAGCAGUAGGGAAUCUUCCACAAUGGACGAAAGUCUGAUGGAGCAACGCCGCGUGAGUGAAGAAGGGUUUCGGCUCGUAAAACUCUGUUGUUAAAGAAGAACAUAUCUGAGAGUAACUGUUCAGGUAUUGACGGUAUUUAACCAGAAAGCCACGGCUAACUACGUGCCAGCAGCCGCGGUAAUACGUAGGUGGCAAGCGUUGUCCGGAUUUAUUGGGCGUAAAGCGAGCGCAGGCGGUUUUUUAAGUCUGAUGUGAAAGCCUUCGGCUCAACCGAAGAAGUGCAUCGGAAACUGGGAAACUUGAGUGCAGAAGAGGACAGUGGAACUCCAUGUGUAGCGGUGAAAUGCGUAGAUAUAUGGAAGAACACCAGU